AUGCAGCGAUCAAUUCAUCCGGGCUUGGAUCAGGCAAACGGCAACGGCGGCUCCUCUCUUCCCCUACCUCCUGUUCUUCUCCUUCCUCCCACCUCAAUUCCCUUGUACUCGAGCUUGAUUCCCUAUAAUGGAGUGAUUCGCGAGUUGGAUCCUAACAUCUGGUAUCAGAGCCCUCUCACCACCCUUCCAAAUUCGUCCAAAUUUUUUCCUCAUUUUUUUCCCCACCACCACCACACCACCAUGAAUUCCGAGCUGAAGGCCUGCCUGGACAAGCUCCACGCAGAGACUAGGGCACAAUACGCCGAAUUCCACAAGCAACUCCAACUUCAGGAGGCCCUACUCACCAAGCCCUCCACGGGAGCGCGGCCUCCGCCACUGACACGCUCGGCCGUCGCGACCGUCGCGGCCUUUGACGGCGGCAUCUCCAUUGACACCAUCGUUCCUGUAGUCGUUUCUGACGCCUUCUCCGCCACCACCCAGGCCCAGGAGGACCCUGCGGUCGCCCAUCUUGCUGCCCCAGUCUGCAUCGCGACGGCGCCCGUCACCUGUUCGACGGAGUGCUCGACCCAGGUCGACGCCAUCGUCAGGGUCGACGCGAUCCAUGAAGCUGCCACCACCGUUCGCCUCGAGCCCGUGGUCGACCUCAUCCACCAAGAGGUCGAGCAGCUCGCACCUGUGCAGGCCACGGCCUCCAUACGCACCGGCGUUCCCUCUACUGUCGAGGUCGUUCCUCCCGUGGCGGCCAUCACCGAGGUUGACACCAAGUCUAGUGUGCAGGAGUGGGAUGACUCACCACUGCCCUCCAUCAACACCUCGACCCCAGCAGCGAGUGAGAUGGACCACAGCAUGGUCCUCAUCGUCUCCAGCAACCUUAGUGCACUGACGCCGACCAAGCGCUCGACAGAAUGCCCCGUCCAUGCGGGCGACUGGGUGAAGCCUCUGUUCGCCCUGAAUAUGCUUUGCACAACCUAUGCACCAUCCAACUCGACCCACCAUGAUCAUCCAGAACCCCUGCAGCAUCUGUUACUGAUUGCACAAGCAGAAUUUGGCACUCACCAUGUGGACAAGAGCAAAAAUUGGGGCCUGCCACCAGUAUGGCAGGAGAUCGAGCAACCAUGGCCGCCACCUUUGCGAGUGUGUAUCAGAUACAUGGGACACCUAUUCAGGCCAAGACCGUGGCCAUCGCUCACAUAUCAUUCAGAUGCAUGCUACCCCGAGGAGCGAUGUUCAGGUAUAAGUAGUCAUGCACACGAAGUUUCAUGGUUCUUUCCUUGGCUAGUUCUGUUGCUAUUCAGAAAUGUGGUUUUCCUUCAAGUUAUUUGUUGUGAGCUGAUUCACAUGGAAGAGGCUUUCAGUUUCCAAUCUGUUGAGAUUUCACAAUAUAGACCUGAUGACCCAAGGUUGCUACCGUGGCUGCCGACUAGUGCAGAGAGUCUAGGCAAGAUAGUGGUGCAGGAAAUACCUUGCAAUGGAACUCUGCAUGCUUUUUCAGGUGAUGGCAGAGCGAUACAUGGUUAUCAUGGAACCAAACUCCGACCAAGGCCAUGGCCACUGUUUGAGUUCAAUCAGGAGAUCAUUCAGUUGCAGCUACAAUGGACAUCAUUUUCAGUGCAUGAGCAAUUUUUGAAUCACGAGGAAAUUCGAGGGAGUGGCCAUUUUCCUAGAGAAUGUUGUUCUGAACAACGUGAUAACCUCUGGAUUCUUCUAGCAUGUCUGAUGGCUCAGUCUAUUUGCUGUUGUGAACAGCCCUUCAAUGAUCUACAAGGUGCACGGCAGCAGUUUCGGCGUCCAGUGGAUCGAGCAACAUAUAUUGCUGAAGUUGCGCAUGGGGGUUAUGAAGCAAUACAUGCAGAUGAAAGAACUUACAAAGGCGUGCAGUUUCAUUCCUGCUAUAUGGUGCAGCAACGAGACGGCCAAUUACAAGGGCGUGCAGAUCACAUAAUGCAUGGAGAAAUCAAUUCAAACAUGUGGCAGUCAUCGGGUAUUCAAUGUGUAAAGCCAACAAAAUCUGUUCCAGGAUAUACAGAAGUGGAUAAAAUUUGCAUUGAUGGUGUUCACAUAUUUGAACAGAGAACUUCUCAGAACUACAAGAGCCUGAUGUCUUGUUCAUGUUUUAUGGUGCAAUUCAGAGAUGAUUCUCCCCUUGAAGCCCUGUCUGACUACCACAGUACUAGCACUUGUUUGGUGGACAAGCACAUGGUUCUUCCUUCAAGAAAUGAUACAGGUUACUACAAAAUUAUCACUCAUUGUUGCCCUCGAUUUCAACCGGAGCAACAUGAAGCUAAUUGUUACUCUACUACCAGUCAUGACCUUACGUUGCAUACAACUGGGCCCUGUACUGAUCUUCAGUCACAAAUUCUUCAUGAGAUGAGUUUUGGGUACUUGGGGCUUCCCGGAGUGAGGAUGUAUUGGAGGCAUGUGAAGCUAAUUAGUGCCAUUGAAAGGUGGGUUCCUUCUCAGCCACAAAAUGUCAGUGUGAUUACAAUUGCUGAAGUUGUGAACGAUGCAGUACGGUAUGCCACGGGAAUCCUUAUGUGA
rnacentral:rRNA from 1 species